AGAGUUUGAUCAUGGCUCAGAUUGAACGCUGGCGGCAUGCUUAAUACAUGCAAGUCGAACGGUAACAGAUUCUUCGGAAUGCUGACGAGUGGCGGACGGGUGAGUAAUACAUAGGAAUCUGCCCAUGUAGUGGGGGACAACUUGGGGAAACUCAAGCUAAUACCGCAUAAUUCCUACGGGAUAAAGAGGGCCACUGCUUGCAAGCUCUUGCUACUGGAUGAGCCUAUGUCGGAUUAGUUAGUUGGUAAGGUAAUGGCUUCCCAAGACAGCGAUCCGUAGCUGGUUUGAGAGGAUGAUCAGCCACACUGGGACUGAGACACGGCCCAGACUCCUACGGGAGGCAGCAGUAGGGAGUAUUGGACAAUGGGCGCAAGCCUGAUCCAGCAAUGCCGCGUGUGUGAAGAAGGCCUGCGGGUUGUAAAGCACUUUCAAUUGGGAAGAAAGAUUAUGAGUUAGUACCUUAUAAUAU
rnacentral:rRNA from 1 species